AUUGAACGCUGGCGGCAAGCCUAACACAUGCAAGUCGAACGAGUGGCGGACGGGUGAGUAAUGUCUGGGAAACUGCCUGAUGGAGGGGGAUAACUACUGGAAACGGUAGCUAAUACCGCAUACCAUCGGAUGUGCCCAGCGGGGAUUAGCUAGUAGGUGGGGUAAAUGCUCACCUAGGCGACGAUCCCUAGCUGGUCUGAGAGGAGGACCCGCCACACUGGAACGGAGACACGGUCCAGCCUCCUACGUGAGGCAGCAGUGGGGAAUAUUGCACAAUGGGCGCAAUCCGGAUGCAGCCGUGCCGCGUGUAUGAAGAAGGCCUUCGGUUUGUAAAGUACUUUCAGCGGGGAGGCGUUACCCGCAGAAGAAGCACCGGCUAACUCCGUGCCAGCAGCCGCGGUAAUUC
rnacentral:rRNA from 1 species